rnacentral:rRNA from 1 species
AGCGAACGCUGGCGGCAGGCCUAACACAUGCAAGUCGAACGAACCUUUCGGGGUUAGUGGCGGACGGGUGAGUAACACGUGGGAACGUGCCUUUAGGUUCGGAAUAACUCAGGAAACUUUUGCUAAUACCGAAUGUGCCCUUCGGGGGAAAGAUUUAUCGCCUUUAGAGCGGCCCGCGUCUGAUUAGCUAGUUGGUUGAGGUAAUGGCUCACCAAGGCGACGAUCAGUAGCUGGUCUGAGAGGAUGAUCAGCCACAUUGGGACUGAGACACGGCCCAAACUCCUACGGGAGGCAGCAGUGGGGAAUCUUGCGCAAUGGGCGAAAGCCUGACGCAGCCAUGCCGCGUGAAUGAUGAAGGUCUUAGGAUUGUAAAAUUCUUUCACCGGGGACGAUAAUGACGGUACCCGGAGAAGAAGCCCCGGCUAACUUCGUG